rnacentral:rRNA from 1 species
UACAGAGGUCUCAAGCGUUGUUCGGAUUCAUUGGGCGUAAAGGGUGCGUAGGCGGCGCGGUAAGUCGGGUGUGAAAUCUCGGAGCUUAACUCCGGAACUGCAUUCGAUACUGCCGUGCUUGAGGACUGGAGAGGAGACUGGAAUUUACGGUGUAGCGGUGAAAUGCGUAGAUAUCGUAAGGAAGACCAGUGGCGAAGGCGGGUCUCUGGACAGUUCCUGACGCUGAGGCACGAAGGCCAGGGGAGCAAACGGG